AAUAUUUGACUUCUUCUUAAUUAUGUGUUAUUAAUUCUUGUUUUGAUAUUCCAAGAUAUUGAUUCAAGUUAAGCUCUUAUUCAGAAGAGGAAUAGACCCUGUCUAAGAGUAAAUUUUUCAUAAUUAAGCGGAGUUGAUUGCAUGCCUAGAGAUAAGGUGAUAAGAUUUUGCCGGAUUAGGGUGAAACUUAAUAAAGAAAUCCAUAUAUCAAGUUAAUGCAAUUCUAGGGUGUUAAUUAGAAAGAGAUUUCAAUUAUUCAACCUAGGGUUAGACGUUAUUAGUCUCGAGAGAAAUAAUAAUAUAACUUAGGGAUUUCUACGGAUCAAGUCAAAUGAAUAAAUCGUCUGAUUCAGAGUCAAAUAGCAAGUGAAGUCUAGGUGGAUUUUUCCUUAGGUAUUGUCUUAAUCAAUCGAAUUCUCUCAAAAUUAUUUUCCCAAAUUUUCUUUCUGUGCAUUCUUAGUUUAGUAAUUAGUUUAGAUAACCAAACCUCUUAAUUAUUUUAGGCUAGAUAAUAAAGAGGAAGUAAAUACUAGUACUCAUGGUUCCUUUAGGUUCGACAAUCUGGUCUUGCUGAACUAUACUAUUGUUCGAUAGGUACACUUGCCUUAAUCGUGAUAAUAAGUUAGUCUUAAGAAUGAUUCAUUCAUAAAUCUCUAAAACCUGUCACAAAUAUCAC
rnacentral:lncRNA from 1 species